CCUGAUCCAGCAACGCCGCGUGAGGGAUGACGGCCUUCGGGUUGUAAACCUCUUUCAAAAGGGAGGAAGCGAAAGUGACGGUACCUGCAGAAGAAGGACCGGCCAACUACGUGCCAGCAGCCGCGGUAAUACGUAGGGUCCGAGCGUUGUCCGGAAUUAUUGGGCGUAAAGGGCUCGUAGGCGGUUUGUCGCGUCGGGAGUGAAAACUCAGGGCUCAACCCUGAGCGUGCUUCCGAUACGGGCAGACUAGAGGUAUUCAGGGGAGAACGGAAUUCCUGGUGUAGCGGUGGAAUGCGCAGAUAUCAGGAGGAACACCGGUGGCGAAGGCGGUUCUCUGGGAAUAACCUGACGCUGAGGAGCGAAAGCAUGGGUAGCGAACAGGAUUAGAUACCCUGGUAGUCCAUGCCGUAAACGUUGGGCGCUAGGUGUGGGGACCUUCCACGGUCUCCGUGCCGCAGCUAACGCAUUAAGCGCCCCGCCUGGGGAGUACGGCCGCAAGGCUAAAACUCAAAUGAAUUGACGGGG
rnacentral:rRNA from 1 species